rnacentral:tRNA from 1 species
GCUCUGGUAGUUCAGCGGUCAGAACAAGACACUGUCAAUGUCUUAGUCCGGGGUUCAAAUCCCUGCCAGAGCA